rnacentral:rRNA from 1 species
UCGAGCGAGAAGACGUAGCAAUACGUUUGUAAAGCGGCGAACGGGUGAGGAAUACAUGGGUAACCUACCCUCGAGUGGGGAAUAACUAGCCGAAAGGUUAGCUAAUACCGCGUACGCUCCUUGGACUUCGGUUCAGGGAGGAAAGCGAUACCGUGGGUAUCGCGCUCUUGGAUGGGCCCAUGUCCUAUCAGCUUGUUGGUGAGGUAACGGCUCACCAAGGCUUCGACGGGUAGCUGGUCUGAGAGGACGAUCAGCCACACUGGCACUGCGACACGGGCCAGACUCCUACGGGAGGCAGCAGUAAGGAAUAUUGCGCAAUGGGCGAAAGCCUGACGCAGCGACGCCGCGUGGGGGACGAAGGUCUUCGGAUUGUAAACCCCUUUCGGGAGGGAAGAUGGAAUGGGGUAACCCAUUCGGACGGUACCUCCAGAAGCAGCCACGGCUAACUUCGUGCCAGCAGCCGCGGUAAUACGAAGGUGGCAAGCGUUGUUCGGAUUUACUGGGCGUACAGGGAGCGUAGGCGGUUCGGUAAGCCCUUUGUGAAAUCUCCAGGCUUAACCUGGAACAGUCGGAGGGGACUGCUGGGCUAGAGGACGGGAGAGGAGCGCGGAAUUCCCGGUGUAGCGGUGAAAUGCGUAGAGAUCGGGAGGAAGGCCGGUGGCGAAGGCGGCGCUCUGGAACGUUUCUGACGCUGAGGCUC